rnacentral:rRNA from 1 species
AAAAGUGAAAGACGGUCUUGCUGUCACUUAUAGAUGGAUCCGCGCUGCAUUAGCUAGUUGGUAAGGUAACGGCUUACCAAGGCAACGAUGCAUAGCCGACCUGAGAGGGUGAUCGGCCACACUGGAACUGAGACACGGUCCAGACUCCUACGGGAGGCAGCAGUAGGGAAUCUUCCGCAAUGGGCGAAAGCCUGACGGAGCAACGCCGCGUGAGUGAUGAAGGUCUUCGGAUCGUAAAACUCUGUUAUUAGGGAAGAACAUAUGUGUAAGUAACUGUGCACAUCUUGACGGUACCUAAUCAGAAAGCCACGGCUAACUACGUGCCAGCAGCCGCGGUAAUACGUAGGUGGCAAGCGUUAUCCGGAAUUAUUGGGCGUAAAGCGCGCGUAGGCGGUUUUUUAAGUCUGAUGUGAAAGCCCACGGCUCAACCGUGGAGGGUCAUUGGAAACUGGAAAACUUGAGUGCAGAAGAGGAAAGUGGAAUUCCAUGUGUAGCGGUGAAAUGCGCAGAGAUAUGGAGGAACACCAGUGGCGAAGGCGACUUUCUGGUCUGUAACUGACGCUGAUGUGCGAAAGCGUGGGGAUC